AAGGAAUAUUGGACAAUGCCCGCAAGGGUGAUCCAGCCAUGCCGCGUGCAGGAAGACGGCCCUAUGGGUUGUAAACUGCUUUUGAACUAGAGAAAACCCCUUUACGUGUAAAGGGCUGAUAGUAUAGUUAGAAUAAGGAUCGGCUAACUUCGUGCCAGCAGCCGCGGUAAGACGAAGGAUCCAAGCGUUAUCCGGAUUCAUUGGGUUUAAAGGGUGCGUAGGCGGCCUUGUAAGUCAGUGGUGAAAUCUCCUCGCUUAACGAGGAAACUGCCAUUGAUACUGCUAGGCUUGAGUACAGAUGCUGUGGGCGGAAUAUGACAUGUAGUGGUGAAAUACAUAGAGAUGUCAUAGAACACCGAUUGCGAAGGCAGCUCACAAAACUGUAACUGACGCUGAGGCACGAAAGUGCGGGGAUCAAA
rnacentral:rRNA from 1 species